rnacentral:rRNA from 1 species
UACGUAGGGCGCAAGCGUUAUCCGGAAUUAUUGGGCGUAAAGAGCUCGUAGGCGGUUUGUCGCGUCUGCCGUGAAAGUCCGGGGCUCAACUCCGGAUCUGCGGUGGGUACGGGCAGACUAGAGUGAUGUAGGGGAGACUGGAAUUCCUGGUGUAGCGGUGAAAUGCGCAGAUAUCAGGAGGAACACCGGUGGCGAAGGCGGGUCUCUGGGCAGUAACUGACGCUGAGGCGCGAAAGCGUGGGGAGCAAACAGG